rnacentral:rRNA from 1 species
UAGUUAGUUGGUGGGGUAACGGUCUACCAAGGCGACGAUCAGUAGCCGGCCUGAGAGGGUGAACGGCCACACUGGGACUGAGAUACGGCCCAGACUCCUACGGGAGGCAGCAGCUAAGAAUCUUCUGCAAUGGACGAAAGUCUGACAGAGCGACGCCGCGUGGGUGAAGAAGGCCGGAAGGUUGUUAAACCCUUUUCUAUUCGAGGAAUAAUCGCAGGAGGCAAUGCCUGCGAGAUGACGGUAGGGUAGGAAUAAGCCCCGGCCAAUUACGUGCCAGCAGCCGCGGUAACACGUAUGGGGCGAGCGUUGUUCGGAAUCAUUGGGCGUAAAGGGCGCGUANGCGGAUAUGCAAGCUUGGUGUGAAAGACCGCAGCUCAACUGCGGGACCGCGCUGAGAACUGCAUGUCUAGAGUUCAAGAGGGGAAGCUGGAAUUCCAGGUGUAGGGGUGAAAUCUGUAGAGAUCUGGAAGAACAUCAGUGGCGAAGGCGAGCUUCUGGCUAUGAACUGACGCUGAGGCGCGAAAGCGUGGGGAGCAAACAGGAUUAGAUACCCUGGUAGUCCACGCUGUAAACGAUGUGCACUAGGUGUUGGGCCGCUGAAGGCUCAGUGUCACGUAGCUCACGCGUUAAAGUGCACCGCCUGGUGAGUAUGCUAGCAAGAGUGUCACUCGAAGGAAUUGACGCGGGCCCGCACAAUCGAUGAAGCAUGUGGAUUAAAUCGAUGAUACGCGCGUUCCUUACCAGGGCUUGACAUAGAAUGGAACGCGCAUGAGAGUGCGCAGCCCGUUCGGGGCACGCUAGACACGGUACUGCAUGGCUCUCGUCAGCCUGUGACGUGAGGUGUUGAGUUAAGUAACGCGACGAGCGCAACCCCUAUUGUCCCUGCACAGCAGUUUCGGAAGGGGAAUCAGACAAGACGGCCGCGUGACCGGACCGGAGGAAGGUGGGGACGACAGUCAAGUCAGCACGGCCCGUAUGUCCUGGGAUACACACGUGCUACAAUGGCCGGUACAAAGCGAAGCAAAACCGCGAGGUGGAGCAAAGCGCAAAAAGCCGGCCUCAGUUCGGAUCGGAGUCUGAAACCCGACUCCGUGAAGGUGGAA